rnacentral:rRNA from 1 species
AGCUCAGUUGGUUAGAGCACACGCUUGAUAAGCGUGGGGUCACAAGUUCAAGUCUUGUCAGACCCACCAUGACUUUGACUGGUUGAAGUUAUAGAUAAAAGAUACAUGAUUGAUGAUGUAAGCUGGGGACUUAGCUUAGUUGGUAGAGCGCCUGCUUUGCACGCAGGAGGUCAGGAGUUCGACUCUCCUAGUCUCCACCAGAACUUAAGAUAAGUUCGGAUUACAGAAAUUAGUAAAUAAAGAUUGNNNNNNNNNNNNNNNNNNNNNNNNNNNNNNNNNNNNNNNNNNNNNNNNNNNNNNNNNNNNNNNNNNNNNNNNNNNNNNNNNNNNNNNNNNNNNNNNGCAAGGUUAACCGUAUAGGGGAGCCGUAGAGAAAUCGAGUCUUAAUAGGGCGUUUAGUUGCUGGGUAUAGACCCGAAACCAGGCGAUCUAUCCAUGAGCAGGUUGAAGGUUGGGUAACACUAACUGGAGGACCGAACCCACUGUCGUUGAAAAGCCAGGGGAUGACUUGUGGAUAGGGGUGAAAGGCUAAUCAAGCCUGGUGAUAGCUGGUUCUCCCCGAAAGCUAUUUAGGUAGCGCCUCGGACGAAUACCAUAGGGGGUAGAGCACUGUUUCGGCUAGGGGGUCAUCCCGACUUACCAAACCGAUGCAAACUCCGAAUACCUAUGAGUACUAUCCGGGAGACAGACUGCGGGUGCUAACGUCCGUAGUCAAGAGGAAAACAAUCCAGACCGCCAGCUAAGGCCCCAAAAUCAUAGUUAAGUGGGAAACGAUGUGGGAAGGCAUAGACAGCUAGGAGGUUGGCUUAGAAGCAGCCACCCUUUAAAGAAAGCGUAAUAGCUCACUAGUCGAGUCGGCCUGCGCGGAAGAUGUAACGGGGCUAAAACUAUGUGCCGAAGCUGCGGAUUUGACAUUAGUCAAGUGGUAGGGGAGCGUUCUGUAAGCCGAUGAAGGUGUAUUGAGAAGUAUGCUGGAGGUAUCAGAAGUGCGAAUGCUGACGUGAGUAACGACAAAACGGGUGAAAAACCCGUUCGCCGAAAGACCAAGGGUUCCAGUCCAACGUUAAUCGGGGCUGGGUGAGUCGACCCCUAAGGCGAGGCCGAAAGGCGUAGUCGAUGGGAAAAUGGUUAAUAUUCCAUUACUUCUGUGUAAUGCGAUGAGAGGACGGAGAAGGCUAAAUCAGCCUGGCGUUGGUUGUCCAGGUGAAAGGAUGUAGGCAUGUAUCUUAGGCAAAUCCGGGGUACUCUAUGCUGAGAUCUGAUAGCAAGCUGUACUUGUACAGCGAAGUGGUUGAUGCCAUGCUUCCAGGAAAAGUCUCUAAGCUUCAGUUACACAGGAAUCGUACCCGAAACCGACACAGGUGGUCAGGUCGAGUAGACCAAGGCGCUUGAGAGAACUCUGCUGAAGGAACUAGGCAAAAUGGUACCGUAACUUCGGGAGAAGGUACGCUGUUGUUGGUGAUGGAACUCGCUUCCUGAGCUGACGACAGCCGCAGAAACCAGGCCGCUGCAACUGUUUAUUAAAAACAUAGCACUCUGCAAACACGAAAGUGGACGUAUAGGGUGUGAUGCCUGCCCGGUGCUGGAAGGUUAAUUGAUGGGGUUAGCGUAAGCGAAGCUCUUGAUCGAAGCCCCAGUAAACGGCGGCCGUAACUAUAACGGUCCUAAGGUAGCGAAAUUCCUUGUCGGGUAAGUUCCGACCUGCACGAAUGGCAUAAUGAUGGCGGCGCUGUCUCCAGCAGAGGCUCAGUGAAAUCGAAAUCGCUGUGAAGAUGCAGUGUACCCGCGGCUAGACGGAAAGACCCCGUGAACCUUUACUGCAGCUUGACACUGAACUUUGACCUUACUUGUGUAGGAUAGGUGGGAGGCUUUGAAGCUGGAACGCUAGUUCCAGUGGAGCCGUCCUUGAAAUACCACCCUGGUAAUGUUGAGGUUCUAACUCUGUCCCGUGAUCCGGGACGAGGACCGUGUCUGGUGGGUAGUUUGACUGGGGCGGUCUCCUCCUAAAGAGUAACGGAGGAGUACGAAGGUGCGCUCAGCGUGGUCGGAAAUCACGCGUAGAGUAUAAAGGCAAAAGCGCGCUUAACUGCGAGACCCACAAGUCGAGCAGGUACGAAAGUAGGUCUUAGUGAUCCGGUGGUUCUGUAUGGAAGGGCCAUCGCUCAACGGAUAAAAGGUACUCUGGGGAUAACAGGCUGAUACCGCCCAAGAGUUCAUAUCGACGGCGGUGUUUGGCACCUCGAUGUCGGCUCAUCUCAUCCUGGGGCUGAAGCAGGUCCCAAGGGUAUGGCUGUUCGCCAUUUAAAGAGGUACGCGAGCUGGGUUUAGAACGUCGUGAGACAGUUCGGUCCCUAUCUACCGUGGGCGCUGGAAAUUUGAGAGGAUCUGCUCCUAGUACGAGAGGACCAGAGUGGACGAACCUCUGGUGUACCGGUUGUGACGCCAGUCGCAUCGCCGGGUAGCUAUGUUCGGAAGGGAUAACCGCUGAAAGCAUCUAAGCGGGAAGCCUACCUCAAGAUAAGAUUUCCCUAGGACUUUAUGUCCUCUAAAGAGCCGUUCGAGACUAGGACGUUGAUAGGUUGGAUGUGGAAGCAUAGUGAUAUGUGAAGCUGACCAAUACUAAUUGCUCGUGAGGCUUGACUAU